UUCGCAAUGCCCGAAAGGGUGACGAAGCGACGCCGCGUGCGGGAAGAAGGCCUUCGGGUUGUAAACCGCUGUCGGGAGUUAAGAAAUGUAAGGAUGUUAAUAGCAUCUUUGCUUGACUAAGGCUCCGGAGGAAGCCACGGCUAACUCUGUGCCAGCAGCCGCGGUAAUACAGAGGCGGCAAGCGUUGUUCGGAAUUAUUGGGCGUAAAGACCACGUAGGCGGCUAUGUAAGUCGGUUGUGAAAGCCUUCCGCUCAACGGGAGAACAGCAUCCGAUACUGCAUGGCUUGAGUGCGGGAGGGGAGAGUGGAACUUCUGGUGGAGCGGUGAAAUGCGUAGAUAUCAGAAGGAACGCCGGCGGCGAAAGCGGCUCUCUGGCCCAUAACUGACGCUGAGUGUGCGAAAGCUAGGGGAGCAAACGGGAUUAGAUACCCUUGUAGUCCUAGCUGUAAACGAUGGGCACUAAGUAGAGGGGUUUU
rnacentral:rRNA from 1 species